rnacentral:rRNA from 1 species
CAGCAGCCGCGGUAAUACGUAGGGGGCAAGCGUUGUCCGGAAUUAUUGGGCGUAAAGCGCUCGCAGGCGGUUUUUUAAGUCUGAUGUGAAAUCUUGCGGCUCAACCGCAAGCGGUCAUUGGAAACUGGAGAACUUGAGGACAGAAGAGGAGAGUGGAAUUCCACGUGUAGCGGUGAAAUGCGUAGAGAUGUGGAGGAACACCAGUGGCGAAGGCGACUCUCUGGUCUGUAACUGACGCUGAGGAGCGAAAGCGUGGGUAGCGAACAGGAUUAGAUACCCUGGUAGUCCACGCCGUAAACGAUGAGUGCUAGGUGUUAGGGGGUUUCCGCCCCUUAGUGCUGGCGUUAACGCAUUAAGCACUCCGCCUGGGGAGUACGGCCGCAAGGCUGAAACUCAAAAGAAUUGACGGGGACCCGCACAAGCGGUGGAGCAUGUGGUUUAAUUCGAAGCAACGCGAAGAACCUUACCAGGUCUUGACAUCCUUAUGCCCGCUCUAGAGAUAGAGUUUUCCCUUCGGGGACAUAAGUGACAGGAGGUGCAUGGCC